rnacentral:lncRNA from 1 species
AUAUACCAGUGACAUUGUUACACCAGAACAACCGCUUUCACCUACACAUUUCUCUUCAGCAAUUGUAAUGAAAUCUGUAGAAUCUACCAGUGACAUUUCUACAAAAAGAACAUUCGCUUUCAACUACACAUUUAACUUCAGCAAAUGAAAUGACACCUGUAGAAUCUACCAGUGACAUUUCUACAACAGAACAAUCUCCGUCAUCUACACACG